ACCACGGAACAGAAAAAACAGUGGAAGUGCUAAGUAGGCGUGGCACGCGUGCCACAAUUAAGAGUCGUUACGCUAAACUGAUCCCAGUCGCGUUCUAACAUCGCGUAGAGUUGGUAGUCUCGCGACAAAUUCAUAUUGCCCUAGCAAUGCCGUACUGUUCCGUUUUGGAGUGUAAAAAUGAUAGUAGGACAAAAAAUCUUAAAAAUGGAGGUAUUUCGUAUCAUCGGUUUCCCAAAGAUGCAAGCAUCAAAGAGAAAUGGAUAGAUGCAACGAGUAGAGUUAAUUGGAUACCAACCGAACUGUUCGUCAGCUGUUGAAAGGAUAAACAGAAGUAGUAUGUCUCAAGAUAUGUCACAAUACGAUCAAAUUGAGGACGAUUCAGAAAUUGAAGAACUAGGAGGGCACUUUUCUGAUUUCAGUAAUAAAGCAAUAGGCCAUAUUGCUGGUUACAUUGCCCGAAUGUUAAUGAAAAAAAUAAACUGUGAUGUCUGUGUUGACGCAUUAGUGACACAUCAUUUUCAACCAGAGAUUUUCGAAAAGAAGUAGCGAUAACUCAAAUAAUGCGAAAGUUCAUAGGAACUCUUUUAUUUAACGAUAUUGCCUCCCAUCAAAUUGGCGAAUUUCUUGCGUCCAAUCACGUUACCGAUUUGAUGAAGGCAAUAGUCGAAAAAAUUUAUAUAAAUGUUCCCAUACAUCAUUUAUUAAAAUUAAAAAUAAGACUUUCGAAACGCCAGUUUCUUAACAAAUAUGUUUUAUUUCAAGGGCAAUAAAUAAAAUUUUACUAUUUUCAUACGUUGCAGUAUUUAUAGUGCAUACUUGUAAAAGGCAUGCACACGUACCAGCACUUUUAUUCAAUUUUAUAUUUACCUUUUUCUAAUUUUAUUUUAGCGAAUGAACAAAAUAACGCGUAUCUAUCGAUAUCGAUAGAUAAUUCAAUGAGCUACGUGGUGCGGCCUUGGCUGAGUAGCAUUAGAAAUCGACCGAUCACGAAAAUGUCAACCAUAUGUUUAACGCAAUUAAGUUUAUAAUUGCUACCACUUAGAAUACCGCCAUCUAUGGUCAAGUAGGGGAAUUAACUGGACAAUCGAAUCUAGUGUGACUAUAGCUCGUAAGUACGUUCUUCCGCUAAAGCAAAAUAAAUCUUAUUUCUAAAACGUCAGGGUUUGUUUCCAAAUCUGUGACGUAGGCUAGUUUUGACUAAACUUAAAACGACAAAUCAAACGGUUUGUUUCUUUGUAGUGCAAUAUAUGUUUAUCGGUAUAUUUGUAUGAGUUUGGC